ensembl:snoRNA SNORD22 Small nucleolar RNA SNORD22
UUCCGGUGAAGAAACACCCGAAUGUCUUACCUGCUGUCCUAGUCCCAAAGCCUGCAAAGGUGAACCCACUGGGACUGGCUGGGGGAAAAAGAGGAAAUUUUCUUCCAGAAAGAACUGUCUGAGGGAU